UUUAUGGAGAGUUUGAUCCUGGCUCAGGAUGAACGCUGGCGGCGUGCCUAAUACAUGCAAGUCGAGCGAACAGACGAGGAGCUUGCUCCUCUGACGUUAGCGGCGGACGGGUGAGUAACACGUGGGUAACCUACCUAUAAGACUGGGAUAACUUCGGGAAACCGGAGCUAAUACCGGAUAAUAUUUUGAACCGCAUGGUUCAAAAGUGAAAGAUGGCU
rnacentral:rRNA from 1 species